GAUGAACGCUGGCGGCGUGCUUAACACAUGCAAGUCGAACGGUGAAGCCCAGCUUGCUGGGUGGAUCAGUGGCGAACGGGUGAGUAACACGUGAGCAAUCUGCCCCUGACUCUGGGAUAAGCGCUGGACACGGCGUCUCAUACUGGAUACGAGCCGUGAAGGCAUCUUCAACGGUUGGAAAGAUUUUUCGGUCAGGGAUGAGCUCGAGGCCUGUCAGCUCGUUUGUGAGGUAAUGGCUCACCAAGGCGUCGACGGGUAGCCGGCCUGAGAGGGUGACCGGCCGCACUGGGACGGAGACACGGCCCAGACUCCUACGGGAGGCAGCAGUGGGGAAUAUUGCGCAAUGGGCGCAGGCCUGAUGCAGCAACGCCGCGUGAGGGAUGACGGCCUUCGGGUUGUAAACCUCUUUUAGCAGGGAAGAAGCGAAAGUGACGGUACCUGCAGAAAAAGCGCCGGCUAACUACGUGCCAGCAGCCGCCGUAAGAC
rnacentral:rRNA from 1 species